rnacentral:rRNA from 1 species
CAUCACUACGCUAGAUGCAUAUCAAUAAGCGGAGAAAAGAAACUAACAAGGAUUCCCCUAGUAACGGCGAGUGAAGCGGGAAGAGCUCAAAUUUGAAAUCUUAAAGGGUUUCCCUUUACGAAUUGUAGUUUAAAGAAGUGUUUUCUGUUGGAGUUUCGGUAAAAGUUCUUUGGAAUAGGACAUCAUAGAGGGUGAGAAUCCCGUAUUUGACCGUUACUUUCCAGCUGUGUGAUACACUUUCAAAGAGUCGGAUUGUUUGGGAAUGCAGUCCAAAAUGGGUGGCUAAAUUUCAUCUAAAGCUAAAUAUUGGCGAGAGACCGAUAGCGAACAAGUACCGUGAGGGAAAGAUGAAAAGAACUUUGAAAAGAGAGUUAAACAGUACGUGAAAUUGUCAAAAGGGAAGCGUUUGACACCAGUGUUGUUUAGUUGAAAAUCAAUUCAAUAAUUUUUGAUUUUGAGUAGUAUUGACUUCAUCAGCUUGCUGCUUUCUUUUCGGAAAUUAUUGAAUGCACUUUUCAGUUAACAAGUCAACAUCAAUUUCUUUUGUUGUAAAAGGGUAAGAGGAAGGUGGCUUACGCUUCGGCGUAAGUGUUUAUAGCCUUUUACCUCUGCAAUCGGAGAGAUUGAGGAUCAGCAGCGUAGACUCUUCGGGGUUAGAUACACUUGUGCUAAGCUAUAGCCUUGUAUAGACAACUUGUUGACUAUGCUCAGUCAUGUAGCUUACUCGCUUGUGCUAUUUUACCUACGCUUAGGAUGUUGACGAGACUGUCGAUCUC